rnacentral:rRNA from 1 species
AUUGAACGCUGGCGGCAGGUCUAACACAUGCAAGUCGAACGGUAACAGGAAGAAGCUUGCUUCUUUGCUGACGAGUGGCGGACGGGUGAGUCAUGUCUGGGAAACUGCCUGAUGGAGGGGGAUAACUACUGGAAACGGUAGCUAAUACCGCAUAACGUCGCAAGACCAAAGAGGGGGACCUUCGGGCCUCUUGCCAUCGGAUGUGCCCAGAUGGGAUUAGCUAGUAGGUGGGGUAACGGCUCACCUAGGCGACGAUCCCUAGCUGGUCUGAGAGGAUGACCAGCCACCCUGGAACUGAGCCACGGUCCAGACUCCUACGGGAGGCAGCAGUGGGGAAUAUUGCACAAUGGGCGCAAGCCUGAUGCAGCCAUGCCGCGUGUAUGAAGAAGGCCUUCGGGUUGUAAAGUACUUUCAGCGGGGAGGAAGGGAGUAAAGUUAAUACCUUUGCUCAUUGACGUUACCCGCAGAAGAAGCACCGGCUAACUCCGUG